rnacentral:rRNA from 1 species
AUGGUGAAAAGGAUUUUCAACGUGCCAUCCGGUGAUAGACCCGUGAAGCUUCUAAAGAAGAGUGAUGAACAUGAUCUUCGCAGCAUCUACAAGGAGGGGAACAGGGCUCCAAUCGCCCAUGUUGUCAAGUUGCUCACUAGUUGCAGUGAGGAGGACGUGGUUAUGAUAAAUAGGACUUGGGCACUCCUUGCGUUGGCAACAGUUUUGUGCCCAGGCACGGGCAAUAUGGUGAAUCUCGAGUAUCUUGCUUCCCUCGAAGAUAUGUCUUUGGUGCAUGAAUUCGCUUGGGAUGAGCACUUGUUGACACGAGCUAUGGAGGAGGUUGGAGUCUUUCAAGAGAAGAAGAGGAUGCAAGCAAACGCAGAAAAAGAGUUUCAGAUUGCUUCAUGCCUUCCCAUGUUAGCGAUCAUAUACAUGGAUCAUGUUGAUAUCCCGGCUGGCCUCCCAAAUGAGCAUGCUAUUGAUUAUUCCGUGCCAAGGAUACGUUUUGUUUGCCAAAAGGAUUUUGAGUGA